CAGGAUUUCUAGCAUAUAGUCCCUCAAAUUUCAGCAUACCAUCCCAUAGCUCAUCACUGGAAAAGACCGUGGAAAGGGCCAUAGCAGAUCCAAGGUUGCAGAGGUUUUGUGUGUGUUGUCACUGGAUGCCUGAAGAAAAUGGCAGAGAGAAAGGACCGUUCCAGGGAACUGGUUGCUUUGUGCCCCAGCUGAAGGAAAAGAGGCAAGGAAGUCACUGCACAUUCCUGUUGCCUGAGGAGAACCUUGGCCAGUCUCUGCUGAGCUCAUACUACUUGGGUAUGAAAGUUCCUAAGAGAAGAGGAGAAGAUCUCUCUGUCCACCACCUCUGGAACUACACUGACCUGAUCUCCAAAAAGUGUAAAAAUAACAGUGCUAUUCUUUUGAGGGAGAAGUAUGAUAGAAGAC
ensembl:lncRNA